UACGUAAGGGGCUAGCGUUGUCCGGAAUCAUUGGGCGUAAAGCGCGUGUAGGCGGUCCGGUAAGUCCGCUGUGAAAGUCGGGGGCUCAACCCUCGGAUGCCGGUGGAUACUGUCGGGCUUGAGUACGGAAGAGGCGAGUGGAAUUCCUGGUGUAGCGGUGAAAUGCGCAGAUAUCAGGAGGAACACCAAUUGCGAAGGCAGCUCGCUGGGACGUUACUGACGCUGAGACGCGAAAGCGUGGGGAGCAAACAGG
rnacentral:rRNA from 1 species